rnacentral:pre_miRNA from 1 species
AGCUUUAAGAAUCUAUGCAGAGAUUUCGUCAAACACCAACACAUCAGGACUGAUCAGACUUCCCAGAUAAGUGAAGUU